CGAACAGUUUACACUCCUGGCAGUCGCACUGUAACAGCAUACAAUCCAAUUCCCCCCAAGAUCGAGACAACACUUCGUUUGAGGGUCAAGCAGAAUCUGGUUUACUGGGGCUGCCUGCCCGGCUUUUAUGCAGGUCUCCCGCCUGGUGGACACUCCCCUAGGGGACCAGAUGGAAGACUGGGAAACAUAUUAGACAUUGACCAAUCACAAGUUUACAAUCCCACAAUGCAACACAAUCC